UGCUUACGAGGUAUUGAAUAAGGCUUUAAUUGAGUGCUAAGAGAAUGAUUUAACAAAAAUUGACUUUCUUUUUAUUUAAAUUUAAAGUUGAUUUAAAAAUGAAAAAGUUUUUAUAAAUUUUUGGGACAAGAAGACCCUAUGAAUUUUUUUUAAAAAUAUAUUUAUUUUUUAGAAAGUAAAUGAAAUAUAAUUUUAAGUUGGUUGGGGUGACUUUUAAAAAUGAAAAAUCUUUAAAAAUAGAGAAAUUUGAACUUUAAGUUGAGGUUAUUUGUGGAAAAUACUCUAGGGAUAACAGCGUAAUUAUUUUGGAUAGUUCAUAUAGAUAAAAUAGUUUGCGACCUCGAUGUUGGAUUAAGAUAUUAAUAUAAUGUAGCAGUUAUAUUGAAGAGUUUGCUCAACUUUUAAAGUCUUACUUGAUCUGAUUUCCAAGACCCGGA
rnacentral:rRNA from 1 species